AGAGUUUGAUCCUGGCUCAGGAUGAACGCUAGCGGCAGGCUUAACACAUGCAAGUCGAGGGGUAACAGGAGUGCUUGCACUCGCUGACGACCGGCGCACGGGUGCGUAACGCGUAUAGAACUUACCUUUUACAGAGGGAUAGCCUUUAGAAAUGAAGAUUAAUACCUUAUAGUAUUGAGACUUGGCAUCGAGACUUAAUUAAAGAUUUAUCGGUAAAAGAUGGCUAUGCGUCCUAUUAGUUAGUUGGUAAGGUAACGGCUUACCAAGACAGCGAUAGGUAGGGGUCCUGAGAGGGAGAUCCCCCACACUGGUACUGAGACACGGACCAGACUCCUACGGGAGGCAGCAGUGAGGAAUAUUGGGCAAUGGAGACAACUCUGACCCAGCCAUGCCGCGUGCAGGAAGACGGCCCUAUGGGUUGUAAACUGCUUUUAUACAGGAAGAAACCCUGCUACGUGUAGCAGCUUGACGGUACUGUAAGAAUAAGGACCGGCUAACUCCGUGCCAGCAGCCGCGGUAAUACGGAGGGUCCGAGCGUUAUCCGGAAUCAUUGGGUUUAAAGGGUCCGCAGGCGGUCAAUUAAGUCAGAGGUGAAAUCCCAUAGCUCAACUAUGGAACUGCCUUUGAUACUGGUUGACUUGAGUCAUAUGGAAGUAGAUAGAAUGUGUAGUGUAGCGGUGAAAUGCAUAGAUAUUACACAGAAUACCGAUUGCGAAGGCAGUCUACUACGUAUGUACUGACGCUGAGGGACGAAAGCGUGGGGAGCGAA
rnacentral:rRNA from 1 species